rnacentral:lncRNA from 1 species
ACCCGGGGCCUCUCCUGAGGGGAGGUGGGAACUUGAGGAGGGGAACGAGUGGCCUGCACUAAGGAUGGGACCGGACGGCUUCUCCUGAGCGGAGAUCCUCGGCCAGGUAUCCCGGAACGCGAGUACUCUAGUCCCAGGGAUGCUUCUGGAACCUCUUUUGUGGGGCGGGACAAGCUUAAGCACUUUUGUGUAUAAUCCCUCACCCGCGUUUCAAUUUGCCAAAUGGAUCCCACCUGUGAUCGAACUCAGGCGGCUGAGACAGGAGGAUUGCAACGAGCUCGGGGCCAGCCCGAGCUCCAGUUUGAUAUCCCAUCUCAGAAAACAAAACAGAAAAGACCACAACAAAGUGUUGAGUGUUUGUAGGUUGGUGUAUGAGUGGCCAGGGGGUGAGGUUGCUUUGGCCUUUAAAGGAUGUGACUCCUCCGCUCUUGGCCACUCUGUCCCCAAUAGUUGGAGAGUAACAUCUUCUAGAGGAGUCUAGAACCUGGUUUCUCCAUUUCUUUGCACUUGUUUAAGUCUGCUUUAGGGUCUUCCCUAUGAAUGUACACAAGGGAUUUUUUUGUUUUGUUUUGAGAUGGUUUUGCUGUGUAGCUCUGGCUGACCUGCACACCAUGGAGACCAGGUUGGCAGUUAAAAACAAGAAAACAACUUGAGAAUCAUAAAAUCCACAGCAAAAAGCUCCUGAAAA